GAGGGUGGACUAUAUAAGAAUGAACAAAGCUGUCACUAUCGCAAACUACCACACGACCCGACCAAUAGGAUACAUUUGCAGGUAAAUAACAUCUAAGCACCAUGCCCACAUGUGAUCUACCACUUAACUCCCGCGCGUCAAGAGCUAAGCGCUUUGCAAACUUAUACAUAAACUCAUUAUCAAUCAUAACUAUAUCAAAUAUAGAACUAGAGCAAACUAAGAACAUAAUAAAUAGAGACAUAAUGCAAUUAGAACAAAGUAUUAC
rnacentral:lncRNA from 1 species